rnacentral:rRNA from 1 species
CGUCUAUAUACGUAUAGCAUAUCAAUAAGCGGAGGAAAAGAAACUAACAAGGAUUCCCCUAGUAACGGCGAGUGAAGCGGGAAGAGCUCAAAUUUGAAAUCUUAAAGGGUUUCCCUUUACGAAUUGUAGUUUAAAGAAGUGUUUUCUGUUGGAGUUUCGGUAAAAGUUCUUUGGAAUAGGACAUCAUAGAGGGAUGAGAAUCCCGUAUUUGACCGUUACUUUCCAGCUGUGUGAUACACUUUCUAAGAGUCGGAUUGUUUGGGAAUGCAGUCCAAAAUGGGUGGUAAAUUUCAUCUAAAGCUAAAUAUUGGCGAGAGACCGAUAGCGAACAAGUACCGUGAGGGAAAGAUGAAAAGAACUUUGAAAAGAGAGUUAAACAGUACGUGAAAUUGUCAAAAGGGAAGCGUCUGACACCAGUGUUGUUUAGUUGAAAAUCAAUUCAAUAAUUUUUGAUUUAAGUAGUAUUGACUUCAUCAGCUUGCUGCUUUCUUUUCAGGAAAUUAUUGAAUGCACUUUUCAGUUAACGGAGUCAACAUCAAUUUCUUUUGUUGUAAAAGGGUAAGAGGAAGGUGGCUUACGUUUCGGCGUAAGUGUUUAUAGCCUUUUACCUCUGCAAUCGGAGAGAUUGAGGUCUAGCAGCGUAGACUCCUUCUGGGGUUAGAUACACUUGUGCUAAGCUAUAGCCUUGUAUAGACAACUUGUUGACUAUGCUCAGUCAUGUAGCUUACUCGCUUAUGCUAUUUUACCUACGCUUAGGAUGUUGACACACGCGCGUGCUCG